UACUUCCUUCAGUUGCUGUUGAAGACCAAACAAAUAUUUGUUUUAGGUUUGGCGAGCCUGGGUCUCCUUGUACCGGAGGCCACGUGACUCUGAAAACUGCCCCGGCUCAAAGUCUGCACUCUGUUUUGCCAAAUCUUAGGACUGCUCUAGGAGUUUGUCCAGUGGCCUGCGGGAGAGGGGAGGUGUCGGGGGAGUGUCAUUUGUUGAACUGCGCCAGGUGGAGGGCCAGGGCCAGGUGCUGUUGUAAAGUUAACCAGGGAGGACGUGGCCCCUGCAAAGGAGUGUCCUCAGAGUGCAAGUCCCUGGAAUGAAGGUGACCCGCGGAGCGAGGCUGGUGGCUGCAGCCUGCCCGGUCCCCAUCUCCCCGUGGCCUUCCCAGUUGGCAGUCCACCUCUAGGAUAAACCAACAAAUGAAAAAAUACAUGGAAAUGCCAGAAUCAGGAAUGGUGCUGUACUGGACAAUGGGGGUAUGUUCAACUUGGGGCUUCUUAAUGAAUCCAAGAAACCAGGACGGAGUUAAUUCAAAAGGGUGGCUCAUGCUAUAGGGAAGGAAAAAAAGAGCCUGUGCAAACUCAUUUCUACAAAUGAACCCACAGAGAUCGUGCAGAGACUGUGGCAGGCAGACUGUAUUAUGAGGCAUGCCUAUUUACUGCUUCUCCCUAUAGGAAAAUUAUACUCCCUUCUAGAGCACAGGUGUGGGCAUGUGGUUUAGCCCUAGCCAAUGACGUGCGAGCAGAAGUGAUGUCAUCUAUUUCCAGGCAGAACUUUUAAGAGCCAGCGACGGAUGCCACAUUCUCCUUCCCUCGGCCCUGUGGUUGGUCAUGUCCCUAGCAAGCUGCUCCACUAACGGGAGCCUCAGAGUGACAAAGACAGGAAACAUGAACACAACCAAUGUCAGUGGACAUGUGGAGCACUCAGGGAAGAAAGCUGUUUUCCUGUUUAAAGCCUCUGAAGUUUGGGGGGCUGUUUGUCACUGCAGCAUAACCUAACCCAUCCUGACAGAUACAGAGGCAAUCAAUUUUUGAGACAAGGACAAGAAAAAUGAACCACUACGUACUGAACAAUGACCGCAGGACGGCCGCUCACUUGACAUAGUUAAGAGCGGAGCCUUUGAGGCAUGCUGGCCUGGCUCUGCUGCUUUCUGCCUGUGUGACCUUAAGCAUGAGUGGCUUAGCCUCCCUGGGUCUCUGGCCGCCACCGUAAGUUGUUUACUUGCUGGAAACUUCCCCAAAUAUACGCGGGUCCUGGCAGGAGGACAAACUCUCUCAGGGAGGGAUGAGCAAUUUUUGCUUUGAAAGGAAAUCACUUGAUUAGGACAUAAUGACUAAUAACAGUAAUUGAGCAGAAACAGAAGAAGAGACUUACAGGAAAAGAGGCUAUGCCCGUUCUGAUCCCCCAGCACAAGUCCAAUCCACUGAUUACUCAGGAAUGAGCUCUGAAAAUGAGGCGGGUAUACAAUGGUGCCCUCCCAAGAAACAGAAGACAUUAGUCUCAAGUGUUCUUGUCUGCUAUCUUGUUUGUUAACCUCAGUUAUUGGCUAUUGCCAAGUUCCCCCAGGCUGAAGGAAAACAAGGUAAAGAGUGACCAUUCCACGGGUCCAUGAUGCUUUCCUAAAGCCUCUGACCUUUACAGUCAGACCCCACGGGCCUGGGAACGUAGAACAGACAACUCUGGGUGUGGGAGUGGAUGGCUGCUGACAACCCUGUCCUCCUGUGCCCAGAUUUUCAAAAAUAAAGUAACAAUUUUGUGCUGCAAACGGAAAGCAUUACCCUUUAAAGUAAGAGAAAAAUGAGG